rnacentral:rRNA from 1 species
AUUGAACGCUGGCGGCAUGCUUUACACAUGCAAGUCGAACGGCAGCACGGGUGCUUGCACCUGGUGGCGAGUGGCGGACGGGUGAGUAAUACAUCGGAACGUGUCCAGAAGAGGGGGAUAACGCAUCGAAAGAUGUGCUAAUACCGCAUAUGCUCUGAGGAGGAAAGUAGGGGAUCGAAAGACCUUACGCUUUUUGGAGCGGCCGAUGUCUGAUUAGCUAGUUGGUGGGGUAAGGGCCUACCAAGGCGACGAUCAGUAGUUGGUCUGAGAGGACGACCAGCCACACUGGGACUGAGACACGGCCCAGACUCCUACGGGAGGCAGCAGUGGGGAAUUUUGGACAAUGGGCGCAAGCCUGAUCCAGCAAUGCCGCGUGCAGGAUGAAGGCC